AUGGCUUCCAAGCAGAUGCUUGUCGUGGCGGUGGCAUUCGCCAUGGUCUUCCUCCCCUUGCUCGCCGCCUCAGCCACUGUCCACCCCGUGGGCGACAGCAGUGGGUGGACGCUCGGGUUCGACUACACCACCUGGUCCAAGAGCAAGCAGUUCACGGUCGGCGACGCGCUAGUGUUCAAGUACAACAAGGCCCUCCAUAACGUGGUGGAGGUGAGCGGGCCGGAUUUCAAGGCGUGCAAGAACACCAAGGGCGGCGCCGCCUGGAGGUCCGGUGCCGACCAGGUCCACCUCGGCGACGCGGGGAGGAGGUGGUUCAUCUGCACCGUGGGCAACCACUGCCAGAUGGGCUUGAAGCUCAACGUCACCAUCCUCGCCGCGGACGCGCUUUCGCCUGCGCCUGCACCAGCUCCGUGGUCGACGGUGCCAUCGUCGUCUACUCCUCACAAGUCCAGGCGGCCCUUUGUUUCCAAGUGA
rnacentral:rRNA from 1 species